UGGGGAAUAUUGCACAAUGGGCGCAAGCCUGAUGCAGCCAUGCCGCGUGUAUGAAGAAGGCCUUCGGGUUGUAAAGUACUUUCAGCGGGGAGGAAGGGAGUAAAGUUAAUACCUUUACUCAUUGACGUUACCCGCAGAAGAAGCACCGGCUAACUCCGUGCCAGCAGCCGCGGUAAUACGGAGGGUGCAAGCGUUAAUCGGAAUUACUGGGCGUAAAGCGCACGCAGGCGGUUUGUUAAGUCAGAGGUGAAAUCCCCGGGCUCAACCGGGGAACUGCAUCUGAUACUGGCAAGCUGGAGUCUCGUAGAGGGGGGUAGAAGUCCAGGUGUAGCGGUGAAAUGCGUAGAGAUCUGGAGGAAUACCGGUGGCGAAGGCGGCCCCCUGGACGAAGACUGACGCUCAGGUGCGAAAGCGUGGGGAGCAAACA
rnacentral:rRNA from 1 species